GUGGAGAGGCCAUGCAGAGAGGUUGUGUAUGGGGUUCUAGUCAAAAGCCUGGCUGAGAUCCCAGUCAACAGUCAGCUGUAUGAGAAAACUGAGGUGCCAAGAAGUGAAAGCCGAAUGUCCAAAGUCACAUCGCUACUAAGAAGCAGAGUCGGCUUUGAAUCUGGGUCUACCUGGUUCCCUUCUUCAGUUCUGCUUCCCGAAAGCCCUCCCGGAAGGGACUGAAAUCACCCCUAAGGCUCAGCCUCCAUCCCUGCUGUGCUGUCCCCAGUCCUCUGGGCCUGGGGUCCCAGCUUGACUGAUCCCUGGAGGCUGCCCACACCUCUCACCCACCCUCUGUCCCUCCACUUCUUUUUUUCCCUGCGUCUUCUUUUUAAAAUAAAAACUCCGGCCGCUCGCGGCUCA
rnacentral:lncRNA from 13 species